AGUGAACGCUGGCGGUAGGCCUAACACAUGCAAGUCGAACGGCAGCACGGUAAGAGCUUGCUCUUACGGUUGGCGAGUGGCGGACGGGUGAGGAAUACAUCGGAAUCUACUUUUUCGUGGGGGAUAACGUAGGGAAACUUACGCUAAUACCGCAUACGACCUACGGGUGAAAGCAGGGGAUCUUCGGACCUUGCGCGAUUGAAUGAGCCGGUGUCGGAUUAGCUAGUUGGCGGGGUAAAGGCCCACCAAGGCGACGAUCCGUAGCUGGUCUGAGAGGAUGAUCAGCCACACUGGAACUGAGACACGGUCCAGACUCCUACGGGAGGCAGCAGUGGGGAAUAUUGGACAAUGGGCGCAAGCCUGAUCCAGCCAUACCGCGUGGGUGAAGAAGGCCUUCGGGUUGUAAAGCCCUUUUGUUGGGAAAGAAAAGCAGCAGGUUAAUACGCCGCUGUUCUGACGGUACCCAAAGAAUAAGCACCGGCUAACUUCGUG
rnacentral:rRNA from 1 species